rnacentral:lncRNA from 1 species
UGAAAUAAGAUAGAAGAAAAUCUAAAUAAUAUUAUUUGUUGUCUUAUUUAAUUUUUUUAUAAUCAUUUUAGACUAGAUUACAAAAUCCACAACUACAAGGAUUGUGAAAAUAGAUAAAGUAAAAAUUUAAACUUAUGGGUGCAAAUAUAAUAACAAAAUUUUCUUAAAAAAACGCUAUAACUAGAUGACAACUUGUGGAAUUUUCUAAAAUAAUCUUAAGGGAACAUCUCAAACACACCCACAUAAGGAAAGGAGAAAUUCAAACAAAAUAGUACACUUCGGCUGAAGAUCAAAUGGGCAUAUCUUUGUUUGACAAUCAAAAUCUUGAGUACAAAUAACCAUAUUCGCUGAAAUGAAAAAAGAAAAUAAAAGACUUUAGUUGAAUGAGAUAAAAUAAAACAUAGCAAGUAACUGGGGAAAAUUGAAAGGAUAAAAAUUGGUUACCGUCAACGUUCAUUGCAAAAGGAAAUAGGGAAAUAAAGAUAAUUAUAACAUUAACAAAUUUAAUAACUUCAGCCAUAUUUUCAACCCUUUUUUUUUUGGUUACAAUAUUUUCAACCCUUUGCAUUGCAUGUAAGAAAUAUUAUAUAGUUUAAUCACGUUAUAAUUUAUAAAGUACACCCUCUCGUUAGAUACAUUAUAUAGUUUUUAGCGCUUACCGAUUGGUAAAAAAAUCCUUCCUAAAAUUAGAAUCAUUGUUAAAUAUCUCCUAAGUAUAACAAAGUGUUAUUUUUGUCCCUUUAGCAACCUUAGUAAACAGGUCACAUAAAAAACCUAUUGAAUCAAAAUAAUUCAUUUUGUUUUACAAAUAAUCCAUUAUUUUAAAAUUUUUCAUGAGAGAAAAGAAAUAACAAAGAGGAAUAAUAGCAUCGGGUUUUAUGAACCCUAGACUAUAGCAAAGCUAUCACUAAUGUAUAUGAUAUGUUUAAUAUUCAUCAAUAAUUCCUCAAGAUAUCAUUUAUGUUUUUUACUGAAUCAAGAGUGAGGAAAACAUCAAUGAACUGCUGGACAUCCCGACUAGGUCGGCACCCCCAGGGGACUUCAAUCCUCUGCCACUCACCCAUAUAUUAUAUAUAUAGAAAAAAGGGAAAAAAUAUGUACAAGAGGGGAGAAAAACCAAACCUUCAAAAGAAAACAACAAAAAGAAAUUACGGAAAACAAAAAUUAGGUAACCCAAAACGGUCCCUAAAAUAAUACUCCCAAACAAAAACGGGCAUAAUAUCCCAGCAAACCUUGGUGGGGUUUAGCAUGGGAAAGGGAAAGAGUUUCCCACCAUGGGAAAGUAAAUAUUGACCAUUAGAUCAUGUAAAGAACAUAGUUUUAUCAUAGACUCUCAACAUUAAUUUUUUUUUGCUUUAGCUUCCACCACCGCUCUCUCUUCCAUCACCAUUAACCCAUCAGCAACAACAAUAUCAAAAUUUCCUUAAAAUGAAAACACGGUCUCCACUCACCCACCACCAUUAGUAAUUAUUAAACUUUAAUCAUCAUCUUAGUCAAUUGAGAGAUGAAAUACCAAUUUAAUAAAUCAUCUUCUUAAUCUUCACUCACUCACUUGUAACAAAACCCCAAUUUAUUAUUUUAUCACUCACCUUUUC